UACGAAAGGGGCUAGCGUUGUUCGGAAUUACUGGGCGUAAAGCGCACGUAGACGGCGUUGUAAGAUGGGGGUGAAAUCACUGGGCUCAACCCAGGAACUGCCUUCAUGACUGCAAAGCUCGAGGAUGUGAGAGGUUGGCCGAAUUCCGAGUGUAGAGGUGAAAUUCGUAGAUAUUCGGAAGAACACCGGUGGCGAAGGCGGCCAACUGGCACAUUUCUGACGCUGAGGUGCGAAAGCGUGGGGAGCAAACAGG
rnacentral:rRNA from 1 species